GAAGAAAAUGAAUCUACAAGGAUGAGAAUACAGCAACAAGAAAAAUUGAAAUAGAAGCUAUGCUUGGCUCUGCGGUGUCAAUGAGUUUGCCACAGGCUGUGGUCCUGAGGUACUUUGCUACCUUGACACUCUCAGUAGUAAAUGAAAAGUAGAGACAAAUCUUGAAGCAAAAAGGGAGUAGUUGGGGGCAUAUGAAGACUAGAGCUGCCAUUUAGGAGACCCCGUCACCCAUCAGAAUGGCCUCUUCUGUGAGAAUGACAAGGGCAAAGGUGAGGAGUCAGGAGGAGAAAACAAGCCACCUGCUGUGGAGCCAGCCGACUAUGGACUGAAACCUCUACAAACUGUGAGCUGGAUAAAUCUUCCCUCCUGUAACUUUGAGUGUUUGGUACUUUAUCUUAACAAUGAGAAAAGUGGCUAAGACACAUGCCUCCUUCAUCUCAGAUCCCUUCUUUUCCCAUGUUGAUGCUUCAGAUAUCUCCUGAAAGACAGGUCUAGUGACCACAGUAACAUGAGCCCACCUGCCGCUAACAAGAGAUCUACUGUUUCCAUGGCAUUUGUCACCAUGAUCUCAGCCGUGCCAACGAGGCCCUUGUAAGGAUGGCCAAGGUUAUUGUCCUGGCUUUUCCCUUUCAGUAACUGUGCUUCUGUGCCAAAGCAUUAAUGACCAGAAUUGCCAUUCAAUCAAGCAAAUAACAUUUCAAGUG